UGAUAAGUAUCAUUCUUUGUUAAUGUAACCAUGGUUUGUCAUGUUUGCCAAAGACUGGAAGAAAAUUGAGCCAACAGCUGGAAGUCAGAAGUUCCCCAUGCCUGCCCUACACAUCCAGGCUCUGAGUUUUUACUUUUUCUACUAUAUUGCCAUGCAAGUAACUUUAACUUUGCUUCUCUGUUCUCUGUCACUGAGAAAUACCAUGUCUCCAUGGCAAUAGGAAUGCAUUUACCUUCACCAAACCUGCUCAAAUCCUUGCCGAACAGGACGUAGCAGGAGUUGACUUUCCGAUGGUGGAGGUUCAGAGUACAGCCUGCAGCCACAGAGAAAAGUUGCUUGUUCCUGAAAUGCAGACACACCUCCAAUCCAGAGAGCAAGUCAUCUCGUGGAGGAAGUGGUAGCUGUAAAAAUUCAAAUGGAAAAGGCAUAGGUGCUGUUUAUAAACCAGCCCAGCUUUGGCUCAGGACAAGCCACCCAUCUCCAGGGGCUGGCGUGUGUGACUCUGCUGACCGCAGCUGCUGACCUGUCUCCUGUACACUCUGGAUGCUGUGAUGCCCAGACAGCAAAACUUCUUUUCAGGCUCCCCAAGAAGGCAGGGACCCCAGUUCUCUCAAGAGCUAACGUUAGAGCAAAUCAGUCUCAAGAGGGAGUCCCAGAAUCAAGAGGAAAUAUGGGCUUGCUCCUUGAUCCUGGAGUAGAGCACAUCUUCCCUGCCUGCAUGGCCAUGCUGUGAAUCUGCAGCUCAGAAGUUGGUCUCCCUAAUGCCACACUCUGGAACCAUGUCAGCCACAUGAUUGUGGCUUCCUGAGGCCACGGCGUGUGCACUCUGCCUGUUCAUGUUGUGUUUUCCUGGUGAUUCUUUCCUAUGCUAUUCAGUAAUAAGGCUGAUCUGCCAUAGCAACGCCCACAGCCAAUGGCACCUGCACAGUGCGUUCCUUCUCUGCUCCACAAUAUUUCCUUAAAGAAACACACACCUGGAAAUUGAAUUUCUGGAAUGAUUCCCAGAUGCUUUCCAGAGGAAGCCUGGCGACGUGGGCAAACAGCCCUUUAUUUUCCACCACGGGAACAAAUAUUUCUGAUCUUUCUUUAGUGUUGGGGCUGCAUGCAAUAAAUACUCAGGUGACACUUUUCUGGGUGGCAGUGGUGAGUGAUGGGAAUGAGGCUAAAUCAAUACUUGUCAGUUUGUGUCAUUUCCACCAGCACUGAGAGGGUGACUGUUUCAGUAUCCAAGCGGAAAUUGUGGACUCAGGGCAAAAAGACAGAGAUGAAAAUUCAGUAGUUAUCUUCAGAGGGAAAGAAUUUUAAGCUGUGGGGAUGGAUAAAAUCUCUAUGGAAGGGAAAAAAGGAGAGACAGACAGAUGAAAGGAGAUGGGGCCUUUGAUCAUAUAAUUCAUUGCCCAAACUGGAACAACUUUGAGAGUGAAAGGAGGUCACUAUUAAUAGUGACACUGGGGCCUCAGAUGUAAACUAGGAUUGUCUUGGGCACGCAGGGACUUAUGGUUGCCCUAAUGCUAGGGUCAGUCUAUUGAAGGGGCCAAUGAUGAUAGCCUGACCUUUGCCACAGCCCUGACACUUGCCACAUAACAGUAGGGAGUGGUAAUGAGGCAGUCACUCAAUAUAGCUCAGAACAUAAGACCUUCUGGUAGGGUCUUCACUGGGGGUGGGGGAUGGUGCUUCACGAACUCCUGAAACUUGUCUUCCCUUGGCUGCCAAAGGCCUCCCUCCCUUCUCUCAUCUUCCUCUUUCCGAGGGGAUGAGGGAGGUACCGUGAGGCCGGGACACAGAUGUCCAUGUGCUCUCCAAAUGUCUUGGGGGAGGGGAGAAAACUAUAACUCUUGGAAAUUUGAUAGAAUUGUCAAAAGAAUAUAAUCAGCUACAUACAUUGUUUAACCAAAGUUAUAGUUCUAUGAUAAAAGAUAAAAAAUUUUCUUUUAUGAGAAUAAAAUACCUAGGAAUCCAACUUACAAGGGAUGUGAAGGACCUCUUCAAGGAGAACUACAAACCACUGCUCAAGGAAAUAAAAGAGGAUACAAACAAAUGGAAGAACAUUCCAUGCUCAUGGGUAGGAAGAAUCAAUAUCGUGAAAAUGGCCAUACUGCCCAAGGUAAUUUAUAGAUUCAAUGCCAUCCCCAUCAAGCUACCAAUGACUUUCUUCACAGAAUUGGAAAAAACUACUUUAAAGUUCAUAUGGAACCAAAAAAGAGCCCGCAUCGCCAAGUCAAUCCUAAGCCAAAAGAACAAAGUUGGAGGCAUCACACCACCUGACUUCAAACUAUACUACAAGGCUACAGUCACCAAAACAGCAUGGUACUGGUACCAAAACAGAGAUAUAGAUCAAUGGAACAGAACAGAGCCCUCAGAAAUAACGCCGCAUAUCUACAACUAUCUGAUCUUUGACAAACCUGAGAAAAACAAGCAAUGGGGAAAGGAUUCCCUAUUUAAUAAAUGGUGCUGGGAAAACUGGCUAGCCAUAUGUAGAAAGCUGAAACUGGAUCCCUUCCUUACACCUUAUACAAAAAUCAAUUCAAGAUGGAUUAAGGACUUAAACGUUAGACCUAAAACCAUAAAAACCCUAGAAGAAAACCUAGGCAUUACCAUUCAGGACAUAGGCAUGGGCAAGGACUUCAUGUCUAAAACACCAAAAGCAAUGGCAACAAAAGCCAAAAUUGACAAAUGGAUCUAAUUAAACUAAAGAGCUUCUGCACAGCAAAAGAAACUACCAUCAGAGUGAACAGGCAACCUACAAAAUGGGAGAAAAUUUUUGCAACCUACUCAUCGGACAAACGGCUAAUAUCCAGAAUCUACAAUGAACUCAAACAAAUUUACAAGAAAAAAACAAACAACCCCAUCAACAAGUGGGCGAAGGACAUGAACAGACACUUCUCAAAAGAAGACAUUUAUGCAGCCAAAAAACACAUGAAAAAAUGCUCAUCAUCACUGGCCAUCAGAGAAAUGCAAAUCAAAACCACAAUGAGAUACCAUCUCACACCAGUUAGAAUGGUGAUCAUUAAAAAGUCAGGAAACAACAGGUGCUGGAGAGGAUGUGGAGAAAUAGGAACACUUUUACACUGUUGGUGGGACGGUAAACUAGUUCAACCAUUGUGGAAGUCAGUGUGGCGAUUCCUCAGGGAUCUGGAAGUAGAAAUACCAUUUGACCCAGCCAUCCCAUUACUGGGUAUAUACCCAAAGGACUAUAAAUCAUGCUGCUAUAAAGACACAUGCACACGUAUGUUUAUUGCGGCAUUAUUCACAAUAGCAAAGACUUGGAACCAACCCAAAUGUCCAACAAUGAUAGACUGGAUUAAGAAAAUGUGGCACAUAUACACCAUGGAAUACUAUGCAGCCAUAAAAAAGGAUGAGUUCAUGUCCUUUGUAGGGACAUGGAUGAAAUUGGAAAUCAUCAUUCUCAGUAAACUGUCGCAAGAACAAAAAACCAAACACCGCAUAUUCUCACUCAUAGGUGGGAAUUGAACAAUGAGAUCACAUGGACACAGGAAGGGGAAUAUCACGCUCUGGGGACUGUUGUGGGGUGGGGGGAGGGAGUAGGGGUAGCAUUGGGAGAUAUACCUAAUGCUAGAUGACGAGUUAGUGGGUGCAGCACACCAGCAUGGCACAUGUAUACAUAUGUAACUAACCUGCACAAUGUGCACAUGUACCCUAAAACUUAAAGUAUAAUAAAAAAAAAUGGCAAAAAAAAA